rnacentral:rRNA from 1 species
GCCUAACCAUGCAAGUCGAAGCGAUGAACCCCUUCGGGGGUGGAUUAGCGGCGGACGGGUGAGUAACACGUGGGUAACCUGCCUCAAAGUGGGGGAUAGCCUUCCGAAAGGAAGAUUAAUACCGCAUAAAGCCAAGUUUCACAUGGAAUUUGGAUGAAAGGAGUAAUUCGCUUUGAGAUGGACCCGCGGCGCAUUAGUUAGUUGGUGGGGUAAUGGCCUACCAAGACAGCGAUGCGUAGCCGACCUGAGAGGGUGAUCGGCCACAUUGGAACUGAGAUACGGUCCAGACUCCUACGGGAGGCAGCAGUGGGGAAUAUUGCACAAUGGGCGAAAGCCUGAUGCAGCAACGCCGCGUGAGUGAUGAAGGUCUUCGGAUUGUAAAGCUCUGUCUUUUGGGGCGAUAAUGACGGUACCAAAGGAGGAAGCCACGGCUAACUACGUGCCAGCAGCCGCGGUAAUACGUAGGUGGCAAGCGUUGUCCGGAUUUACUGGGCGUAAAGGGUGCGUAGGCGGAUAUUUAAGUGAGAUGUGAAAUACCCGGGCUUAACUUGGGUGUUGCAUUUCAAACUGGAUAUCUAGAGUGCAGGAGAGGAGAAUGGAAUUCCUAGUGUAGCGGUGAAAUGCGUAGAGAUUAGGAAGAACACCAGUGGCGAAGGCGAUUCUCUGGACUGUAACUGACGCUGAGGCACGAAAGCGUGGGUAGCAAACAGGAUUAGAUACCCUGGUAGUCCACGCCGUAA